UACGGGGGGGGCAAGCGUUGUUCGGAAUUACUGGGCGUAAAGGGCGCGUAGGCGGCCAACUAAGUCGGAUGUGAAAUCCCCAGGCUCAACUUGGGAACUGCAUCCGAUACUGGUCGGCUUGAAUCCGGGAGAGGGAUGCAGAAUUCCAGGUGUAGCGGUGAAAUGCGUAGAUAUCUGGAGGAACACCGGUGGCGAAGGCGGGUCUCUGGGCCGAUAUUGACGCUGAGGAGCGAAAGCGUGGGGAGCAAACAGG
rnacentral:rRNA from 1 species